AAACAGGCUUUACUAGAAGCCAUUCAACUAUAAACUUCUCAAACUGU
rfam:Fukomys damarensis contig98722, whole genome shotgun sequence.